GACGAACGCUGGCGGCGUGCUUAACACAUGCAAGUCGAACGGAAAGGCCCUGCUUUUGUGGGGUGCUCGAGUGGCGAACGGGUGAGUAACACGUGAGUAACCUGCCCUUGACUUUGGGAUAACUUCAGGAAACUGGGGCUAAUACCGGAAAGGAGCUCCUGCUGCAUGGUGGGGGUUGGAAAGUUUCGGCGGUUGGGGAUGGACUCGCGGCUUAUCAGCUUGUUGGUGGGGUAGUGGCUUACCAAGGCUUUGACGGGUAGCCGGCCUGAGAGGGUGACCGGCCACAUUGGGACUGAGAUACGGACCAGACUCGUACGGGAGGCAGAAGUGGGGAAUAUUGCACAAUGGGCGGAAGCGUGAUGCAGAAACGCCGCGUGCGGGAUGACGGCCUUCGGGUUGUAAACCGCUUUCGCCUGUGACGAAGCGUGAGUGACGGUAAUGGGUAAAGAAGCACCGGCUAACUACGUG
rnacentral:rRNA from 1 species